UGUGGCAAAACCCUAUUUAACUUAUGCUAGUUAUGAUUCUAUCUCUACUGAUUUGGGCUCUGAAUAACUUACAGAACUAAAAGAGGAAAAUGGGAAGGGGUCUGUAUGAGCAAUGUCUUCACAUAGCUACCCCAUUUCCUUAGAAAAAACUAUUCAAGAGAAAUAAUAGACCUACUAUCCUGAUACACCUACUAACCAAUGAUAACUACCAGCUAAUCAGCAGCAGCAGUAGCAGCAUUGAUUGAGCAACUUCCUAAAAAUAUUAUGCAAAACAGAAUCAUAGGAUACAGAGUUCAAAAAGACCACAGAAUUUUCAAUAUGAAGAAACUGCCAUGUAUCAGUCAUGAUGUCUCCAAAACCAUGAAGCUAUGUGCAUAUUGAAGAAGCUACCCCAAGUUUGUGGCAGUGGGUGACGGUCUUUAUUUGAUGAACUACAGAAAUCACCAAUGCCUCUUUUGACUACAGGCAUUUUUAAAGAUUUAAUCACUGAAUGGCUGAUCACUCGUUAGCUGAGGCAUAUUGAGACCUGGGAAAGGCCUUAAUUUAAAAAGACCAAUAUCUUCCACAGCAUCUAAGCUACCUCCCAGUUGUCCUGAUCUAUGUCUUGCCACGGGAUCCAGAUGACUCCAGAGGAGAAAAUAAGCCUCUUGACUGUUCACUGCCCUGUUUCACUUAAAUCUAAUUCACUUGUAACUCACGAUAGCACCAUCCUGAUGUCAAAAUCUCUUCCUAAAUAAAGGACAUGCAA